CUUAGUCAAAAUGGUGAAAAUCUGACUAAUACAGAAAGAAAAACAUAGGUAGCAGUUUGCUAGGGCAAUGUUAACAAAAUAGCACACAAUAAGUAACUUAAACAAGAGUAAAAAAUUCCCUCACAUUUCUAGAGGCUAGAAGACUGAGAUUAAGACAUUGGCAGGGUUGGUUCCUUUUGAGACCUGUAUUCUUGGCUUGUUGAUAGCUGUCUUCUCUCUGUGACUUCACAAUGACUUCUCUGUAUGUGACGGUGUUCCAGUCUCCUUUUCUUUUAAGAACACCAGUUAUAUUGGAUUGAGAUUCACUCUAAUGAGCUCAUUUUAACUUAAUAGUUCCUAUAAUCCCACCAACACAGUCACAUUCUGAGCACUGUAGGCACAGCAGUGGUGAGAACUUAGGCAGCAAAGGGAACAAGGAAAACAGAGUACUGAUUCCAACUACCUUGAAGUCAUCUUACAGAACAGCCACGUGCAGGUGCUCCAAGUGCCAGUCCCAGCUGAGCUCAAACUUCCAGCUGUUCCCACCAAGGUCCACACACAGAGAACUACUGCCCAUACAAAAGGAAGAAUUACGUGGUCAUAAAAGAUAUCUUAACAUUGAAGAACACAGAGUGUUUUUAGCAUGUCUGACAUCUUAUUACAUUUAAAAUAACUAAAAUACCAGCUCGCCUUCCUGUUAUAACAGAUGGAGGGAACCUGGCACCUCUUCCAUACUGUGUUUCCAGGAAAGAGACUCAACAAAAGAACUUGAGACUCCAUGGGUACUAAAGUUGCUGAAUCUGGCAAUCAAUUCCAGUGGAAGAGUAAGAUAUAAGCUUUCUUACAUGUGUCCCUUUGUGGGGCUUCCCACAACAUGUCUUGCAGUUGAGUAAUGUUAAAAAUAAUGAUGAACAGUGUAG